ACAAGCACAAACAAACAAACAAAAAAAAGAGAGAGAACAGAUUAAAAACAGGAACUGUUUUUUUUUUUCAUGUAUAAGAAACUAAUCACUAUUUUUAUGGCGCAGAUGUCUCAGUUCUGUUAGUGAGCAUUCGGGAGACAGCGACAUAAACGAACGUACAGUGACACUGCUCAGACACCAACCAGCCCUCUCAUUUCUUUUUUUAAGAUGAGACCAUUUUAAGAUGUGUGAAACAGCGCCCCUCUAAAUGUUAAGUGGGCAAUGAGCGUUGGAAACAUGCUACUGCAGGCUGGACUGGCUUCCCUUGGUGGAAACAAGGUAUGAUUAACCAAUCAGGUGAGGCUAUUAUCGUGACACUGCUCUCCUGUGAUUAGUCAGGACAGUGUCAAGGGAAGCGGCGAACUCGAAUAGCAGUGUGGCAUUAACGUCAUUGUCGUUAUUAGUUAUAAGACUUGAUUUGUUUCGGUAACUUGGAAGGCUAGAAAAAUAAGAAAAAAGAAAAUUAAUUUACUAAACUACCGCCACAGCAACUCCAAAUUACGUCAGACGAGAGGCAAACACCAAAACUAGAGCUCCGUACUAAGAGGAAGAACCGUUUCAAUGAGGAGAAUUACGUCCGAGUGGCUAGCUGGUAGCUCGAAACUUCUGGGGCUAUUUUCUCGCACUGUCUCCAUUUUGACAAGGGUCCCUGCUCUCUAAACAACACCUAGGCUACCAGCACAUUAUUCACCGAACUUCCAACCUGCCUCGGCCAACUGAAAAGCCCGGGAAAUCAAAAAAGCACAUUGACUGCUGUGAAACGGAAGUUGGCCAAGAUAUCCAUUGACUGUUGUUGUGGAGGACCCAAAGUCCAGUGGGAAGUUGUACGACAUGAUCCCUGUCAUAUUGACGGCCUUCCUCUUCAAAUAGGGCUUGGACCUAAGCGUGGAGGUGGUGUUGGGCAUGCAGACGUAGCCGCUGCCAUCCGAGACACUGCCCUCGACCUGAGCCCGUGCGAGAUCAGCGUCCAGCUGCUGGAACAGCUCACUCUCGCAGACGUAGAUGGGUUUCCCGCAGGUUGGGUCGACUCCACCGAAUGCAGUGAACCAUGACAAUGAUGAAGCCCUCCAGAGAGUCGAACACGGCGAAGAGGAUCUGGAAGAGCGCUGAGCGGCGGUCGGUGAUGGCCAGGACGGCAGACAUCCAGGUUCAGGCCUUGGUAUGGACAAAGCUGUGGUGCAGAGAGACAUCUGCUGACAAGAACUAGGAAUUGCAACAAUGAUUGUCUGCAACUCUUGAGUGGUGCAAAAGAAAAAAAGGAGCGGCUGCGAUCACGGUAGCCACGGCCACAGGUGGAGGAACACAGGCUCCAGGGGGUCCACUCAUCCCAGGCACCAUCAACUAUAAGUAAGUAAAGACAUUAACAAGUGUUAUAUUUUUUUUAUUUAUUUUUUUACUGUUUCAAGUUGCAUUUUGUCAUUUUUCCGCUAGGUGGUGCAAUCUUACAGCCAUCUGAAUCUGAUAACUAUGGUUGUUUUGAUGUGAGUGAAUUGCAGCCUCUUUUCAAAACCAUCCAAAGCAGUUUAAAAAAAAACAUUGACAACGCCAUGAAUUGCUGGAACAUUUUCUGCAUCUUUUUUUCAGGUGGAGGAGCAGCAGUGGUGGUGGGGGCUCACCAGGACAGACGACUGUGUUGUUGCAAGGCCGGUUCUCACGCAGGGGCCCGGUGCACUGGGUGGUAAAGGAGGAAGUAGCGCAGAGGCGAGUGCGACUCUGCCAGCCCUCACCGCAGGAUCUAAAUGCUCACAUGUGCAAGAACAGAGACCAGCUGGCUCAGCUUGGCUGCAAAGUCCAUGAGCCAGGACUGCCCACAGCCUACGCCCUCGCACUGCAGAUACCCUGGAGUCUCCGUGGAGGGAAAAGGUGUGCCUUUGAAGAGAAGAAAAUCCUUUUCUGUUGCAGGAAACUCUCCUGACGGUGUUUUAUUUCCUGACCUGACCUGAGCUGACAGAGGUCAGCAUCACCUGAUGGGGCGAGACUCUACAGCUGGUCAGAGACGACUGCACUCUGGGACCAAAGGUAAGAAAGGGGAGAUGUGUCUCAUUCAGCAGGUUUAUUUUAUCACCUACAGCAGUGGUUCUCAAUUAUUUUCUGUCAUGCCCCCCUCAAGGACA